AUAGCGUAUAUUAAAGUUGUUGCAGUUAAAAAGCUCGUAGUUGAAUUUUAGCCCUGGCUGGGCGGUCCGGCCUCGCGGUCGGUACUGCUUUGGCUGGGGUUCACCUUCUGGUGAGCCAGCAUGUUCUUCACUGAGUGUGUUGGGGAACCAGGACUUUUACUUUGAAAAAAUUAGAGUGUUUAAAGCAGGCAUCCGCUUGAAUACAUUAGCAUGGAAUAAUGGAAUAGGACUUUGGUUCUAUUUUGUUGGUUUCUAGGACCGAGGUAAUGAUUAAUAGGGAUAGUUGGGGACAUUAGUAUUUAAUUGUCAGAGGUGAAAUUCUUGGAUUUAUGAAAGACUAACUUCUG
rnacentral:rRNA from 1 species